GGUUGCGAUCAUACCAGCACUAAUGCACCGGAUCCCAUCAGAACUUCGCAGUUAAGCGUGCUUGGGCGAGAGUAGUACUAGGAUGGGUGACCCCCUGGGAAGUCCUCGUGUUGCAACAC
rnacentral:rRNA from 1 species